AAAGGCAGGCUGGGAGACUGGUCACUGCAACGCGAACUGACAGAAGAGAGGGCUCUGCACAGGCAGCUUUGGGAUCAGACAUUGUAGAUGAGCACGGCAGUGAACUUGGCUAUGUGAAAAAAUAUGGAAGAAGGGCUUUCCAGGCAGAGGCUAUACUUAUUUCCGAGAAUGGGGAUUUGAAAGAGCCUGGCAUAUGUGGAGAAUACGGCAAGAUGACCUUCAACAGAAAUCACUGUUUUUUAACUCAAGACAAGGACAGGCUGUCUCUGCACAUAUCGACCUUAGUAGUAGAGAAAUAAAGUUCUUUGCUAAGACACUGAA